rnacentral:rRNA from 1 species
UACGUAGGGUGCGAGCGUUAAUCGGAAUUACUGGGCGUAAAGCGUGCGCAGGCGGUUUUGUAAGCCAGGUGUGAAAUCCCCGGGCUCAACCUGGGAAUGGCAUUUGGGACUGCAAGGCUGGAGUGCGGCAGAGGAGACUGGAAUUCCUGGUGUAGCAGUGAAAUGCGUAGAUAUCAGGAGGAAGGCCGGUGGCGAAGGCGGCGCUCUGGAACGUACCUGACGCUGAGACACGAAAGCGUGGGAGCAAACAGG